UGAAACUUACAGUAUAUCCAGGAUAUUCUUUUUCUGUAUUGAACUUUUGAUUUCCGCAUAAAGUAAUAAUCUUAGCAUGAGUUUUCCUCUUUUCUCACAAUAUUUACCACAUGGAAUUUACCUGUGAUUUUCCUUCCACACUGCUAUCUGGAAAAGUACAUAUUAGGUCAGUAGUUGCCUGGUGUAGAGGUUGGGACUGGUGUGACCGUAAAGGGGCAUGGGAGAAAUUUUGAGGAUUAUAGCUGUUUUCUGUUGUUGUGGAGCAAUUUCAUGGGUAUAUACAGUUAUCAAAACUCUGCAUAUCAUAUACCUAAAAUUGGUAUGUUUUAUCACCUUGAAAUUAUAUCAAUAAAAUUGAUUUUAAAUGUAUAGCGGGGGAUGUCAGAAAGAACCAGAAAUCAUUAGCAAGAUGUAGAGAAGGCCCAAUUAAAGAUUGCAUCUCAAAAAUUUAUCAGGGAACAUUUUUUCCAACAAUACUAUGUAGCUUGGAAUUGGACACUGGCAAAAUAAAAGUAUCAGAAAGGUGAAAUGUGGAGAAAACUCGGUGGAGGAAGAUUUAGAUUCUCUUUAGGAUAGUAUUACAGUGGCCGACUGGGACACCUGCUGGAUAGGGAAGCAAGUGCAGGUAAGAGUCUGAUAGUUCUGAGUGUGUGUGUGUGUGUGUGUGUGUGUGGGAUGGGGGCAGUGUAAUUGUAAAGAAGUGAAAAAUAAAAUCCAACAAAUGUGACGUGUGCUCGCUAUGUACAUAGUAUGCUUUUUUGUUUUGGAGUUCAGUAAUGAACACGAUACACAAGGUUACUACCACAAGAAUCUCACAUUUUUGCCAAAUUAAAUGGAUGAAUGAGAUUUAUAAAAAAAAAAAAAAAAAAAAANNNNNNNNNNNNNNNNCUGUUAUUUAUACCCAAGUGUGAAUAUUACAUGUGUUGGGCUCCAUGAUUUCUUAUAUCCCAUAUUUUUCUUUUUCUUGGAUAACUUUUUUUUUAGUUUCCUAGAAUGUAUUUUCACAUUAUUAUUUCAUAGACAUUCAGUGGAUUUUAAAUUUUCUGAGGUCUGGUAGGAAGAAUGUUCUUCAUCCUCUUUCUCAAAUACUACUGUUCUUCUGUACUAUGGUUUCAUCUUCACCAGUUUUUGGAAAAAAGUGCUUUUGGAAACUAAGCUAGAGGAAUAGAUCUUAUUGACCAUUUCUGGACAGUAGGUUAAGUAUUAAAGUCGUGCUGCUCUGCAGAAGCUGUCUACUUCCACCUGCCCUAGAGUUAGCCUUUCUCAAAAACAUUUACCCAAAACAUUUUUCAACAACACUUACACCAAAUGAUGAAAAAUGCACAUGAACAUAUUGCUGUGUAGAAUUAUUAUCAAAGAGUGGUAAGGGCAUCGUUUGUAUAUGACC
rnacentral:lncRNA from 1 species